GUUGGCCGUGCGAUGAGGUGGCAACUUGUCCAGGGUGUACCCCGCCUUCCGCCCGAUUGUAGCUGAGUAGGCGCCCGCGACCCCGAAAGGGAAUAAGCGGUAGAAAAUGGAUGGAUGGAUGGAAUUAAGCGGUAGAAAAUGGAUGGAUGGAUGGAAUUAAGCGGAGCUGGAGGCCACGCCCCCUCCAGCUCCAUGCGGACCUGAGUGAGGACAGCCUGUUUUCACGUCCGCUUUCCCCCCACAAUAUAAACAUCUUGCCUGCCUUGACGUUACAUCAUCUACGGAUUUGAAUAAAAAAACUGCACACACAAGGACACGAAGCAGAAGAACGAGGCCGUCUGUAUUAGAGUGAUUCUAUGUUGUUUAUAGCGUUAUGGGGUUGCUUUUUGAUUGGCCAACGAUUUACGUGGUGUUGCGCACCUGACGGCAAGUGACUCUCCGCCGGUACGCAAAUGGCAGAACAAAGGGUGCUCAAAUAGUGAAAGGUAAGUUUUUUUUUUUUUUUUUUUUUUUAGUAACCAGCAAGCACAGUACAGUUAGUAGAACUGUGUUUUUAUUACUGUGUAUUUGAUAGUUGAAUUUCAGACUAUUUCUUUUAUUUAUAUAUAUAUAAUAAAAUAAAUAUAUAUAGCUAGAAUUCACUGAAAGUGAAGUAUUUCAUUCAUAUAUAUAAAUAUAUGAAAUACUCGAGUUGGUGAAUUGUAGAUGUAAAUAUACUCCUCAAGGGUGGCAUGUAUGGUAAAGACUGAUGUGUUUGUGUGUCUGUGGAGAGUUCCAACCUCAGAAAGGCAGGUACGCGGACAUCCACGUCCUCACAGACGUCACUCGAGUGUAAACUCCCGGGAAGCCGACUCGCCCGCACCCGUGUCCCCGGCUGGUUACCCCGGCGACGAACCACUGGCCGGCGCCUUCACGACAGAUAUUAGCUCAUUUGGAAUUUGAUGCCUGCAACAUGUUUCAAAAAAGCUGGCACGAGUGGCAAAAAAGACUGAAAAAGUUGAGGAAUGCUCAUCAAAGACUUAUUAGGAACAGGUGACCCGCACACAUCAUGUGACCAGAGAGGGCGUGGCCAUAAGACUUGUGACAGUCGGCCUGGUCCACGAUGCCCACCGGAGCUUUCUGCAGCACGCUGCUCAUCAAACCUGCGGCAAGAAACACGUGUCCUGUGCAAUAGAAAGAAGACGGCGGCUAAGACGUGGAGGUUACCUCCUUCCCCGGUGGACCCCCAGCCCGAGAUGUAGCACUCCGCGUCCUGCAGGAAGUCGUGCGCAGGCGAGGGCAGGCAGGCGGGCUGCACGGCGGGGGACAAGGGGGCCGGGACCAGCAGCUCCAGCAGGGCCACGUCACGCUCCAGGCUGGUGUUGUGGAACCCCGGGUGGAUGACGACCCGCUGGAUGCGGACCAGCCAGGCCCCGACGCCGGAACGCAGCACGGAGCCCAGACUCACUGCCCAGUGGGCGGGGCUAGUGUCGCUGCAGGUGCGAUGAACACAGACACCUUUUGAAGCAGUGUGCGGCGGUCAGCAACCAUUUCCUGUGAAUCAGCGUGGCGCCACAUAUGUGCUGUCCCUGGUACUGCAGGCUACCCAUCCAAGGCCACUCCCCCCGGCGCGCCGUGACUCCGCCCACAAUCCGACCGGAGCCCAGCGCCGGACGUUGACCGCAGUCUGGAAUGGAAACGAACAACCUGAGAGGACACUUCGCCGACGAGGCAGCUUGUUACACAC